rnacentral:rRNA from 1 species
GGGACAGAGUGACAGGUGGUGCAUGGUUGUCGUCAGCUCGUGUCGUGAGAUGUUGGGUUAAGUCCCGCAACGAGCGCAACCCUUAAGCUUAGUUGCCAUCAUUAAGUUGGGCACUCUAAGUUGACUGCCGGUGACAAACCGGAGGAAGGUGGGGAUGACGUCAAAUCAUCAUGCCCCUUAUGAUUUGGGCUACACACGUGCUACAAUGGACAAUACAAAGGGCAGCGAAACCGCGAGGUCAAGCAAAUCCCAUAAAGUUGUUCUCAGUUCGGAUUGUAGUCUGCAACUCGACUAUAUGAAGCUGGAAUCGCUAGUAAUCGUAGAUCAGCAUGCUACGGUGAAUACGUUCCCGGGUCUUGUACACACCGCCCGUCACACCACGAGAGUUUGUAACACCCGAAGCCGGUGGAGUAACCAUUUGGAGCUAGCCGUCGAAGGUGGGACAAAUGAUUGGGGUGAAGUCGUAACAAGGUAGCCGUAUCGGAAGGUGCGGCUGGAUCACCUCCUUU